AACAAGGCGUACCUGCGGACCUGCGGAAGGAUCAUUACCGAGUGUGAACCCCCCCGUAAAAAAGAGGGGUUACCUCCCGUCCUUUGCUGGGAACCCCUUUCCAACUUGGAAGGAGGUUGUUUUCAGACCCUUCUGCUUCGGUGGGGUAACCCACCGGAACAACCUCAAAAAUAUUCUCAAUUCAAAACCGUUCAGUCCGAGAACUUUUUUGAAAAGCGAAAAAACUUUUAGCAAUGGAUC
rnacentral:misc_RNA from 1 species